rnacentral:snRNA from 1 species
GGAUGUGAGGGCGAUCUGGCUGCGACAUCUGUCACCCCAUUGAUCGCCAGGGUUGAUUCGGCUGAUCUGGCUGGCUAGGCGGGUGUCCCCUUCCUCCCUCACCGCUCCAUGUGCGUCCCUCCCGAAGCUGCGCGCUCGGUCGAAGAGGACAACCUUCCCCGCUAGAGGAGGACCGGUCUUCGGGUUCGGUCAAGGGUAUACGAGUAGCUGCGCUCCCCUGCUAGAACCUCCAAACAAGCUCUCAAGGUUGAUUGGGGAAUGGCUAUUUCUUUUUUCAUUCCUAAGUCCACAGUAUUAGAGGAGGGAAAAGUGGGAAGCAGGAGAUCAUAG